rnacentral:rRNA from 1 species
CUACGGGGCGCAGCAGUGGGGAAUAUUGGACAAUGGGGGCAACCCUGAUCCAGCCAUGCCGCGUGUGUGAAGAAGGCCUUUUGGUUGUAAAGCACUUUAAGCGAGGAGGAGGCUACUGGUACUAAUAUUACCAGCUAGUGGACGUUACUCGCAGAAUAAGCACCGGCUAACUCUGUGCCAGCAGCCGCGGUAAUACAGAGGGUGCGAGCGUUAAUCGGAAUUACUGGGCGUAAAGCGCGCGUAGGCGGUUUGUUAAGUCGGAUGUGAAAUCCCCGGGCUUAACCUGGGAACUGCAUCCGAUACUGUCUAGCUUGAGUACAGGAGAGGAGAGUGGAAUUCCACAUGUAGCGGUGAAAUGCGUGGAUAUGUGGAGGAACACCAAUGGCGAAGGCAGCUCUCUGGCCUGAUACUGACGCUGAGGUGCGAAAGCGUGGGGAGCAAACAGGAUUAGAUACCCUCGUAGUC